CAGACUGGUGAGUAAUACGUGGGAAUAUACCUUUUAGUGGAGAAUAUGCUCGAGAAAUUGAGUUUAAUACUGCAUAAGUUCCUUAAGGAAGAAAGAUGGCCUCUUGCUAUCGCUGAAAGAUUAGCCUGCGCACUAUUAGCUUGUUGGUGAGGUAAAUGCUUACCAAGGCGAUGAUGGUUAUCCGGCCUGAGAGGGUGAUCGGACACAUUGGGACUGAGAUACGGCCCUGACUCCUACGGGAGGCAGCAGUGGGGAAUUUGCGCAAUGGACGAAAGUCUGACACAGCAACGCCGCGUGGAGGAUGAAGGUCUUCGGAUUGUAAACUUCUGUUGAUCGGAAAGAAAUGACAAGAGUUAAUACCUCUUGUAGAUGACGUUACCGGUUUAGAAAGCCCCGGCUAACUUUGUGCCAGCAGCCGCGGUAAUACAAAGGGGGCAAGCGUUAUUCGGAAUUAUGGGCGUAAAGGGCGCGUAGGCGGUGAAAUAAGUUCGUUGUUUAAUUUUCCAGCCCAACUGGAAGUAUGCGGUGAAUACUGUUUUGCUAGAGUAUGAUAGAGAUGAGUGGAAUUUUCGGAGUAGCGGUUAAAUGCGUAGAUCUCGAAAGGAACGCCAAUGGCGAAGGCAGCUCAUUGGGUCAUUACUGACGCUGAGGCGCGAAGGCGUGGGGAGCAAACAGGAUUAGAUACCCUGGUAGUCCACGCAGUAAACGAUGAUCACUAGGCGUUUGGGGGUAACCCCGAGUGCCGCAGCUAACGCGAUAAGUGAUCCGCCUGGGUAGUACGAUCGCAAGAUUAAAACUUAAAGAAAUUGACGGGGGUCCGCACAAGCGGUGGAACAUGUGGUUUAAUUCGAUACUACGCGAGGAACCUUACCUGGGUUUGACAUGUAUAUGACAAUUGUAGAAACACAAUCUCUAUAUAGAAAUAUAUAGCAUAUACACAGGUGCUGCAUGGCUGUCGUCAGCUCGUGUCGUAAGAUGUUAGGUUAAGUCCUUUAACGAGCGCAACUCUUGUCGUCAGUUGCUAUUCCUUUAUGGAAGCACUCUGAUGAGACUGCCUAGGAAACUAGGAGGAAGGAGGGAAUGAUGUCAAGUCCGCAUGGCCCUUAUACCCAGGGCUACACACGUGUUACAAUGGCUAAUA
rnacentral:rRNA from 1 species